rnacentral:rRNA from 1 species
GUCUGGAGUGAAAGGCGACGGCUCAACCGUCGACGCGCUUCGGAAACUGGGGGACUUGAGGGCAGGAGAGGCGAGCGGAAUUCCCGGUGUAGCGGUGAAAUGCGUAGAGAUCGGGAAGAACACCGGUGGCGAAGGCGGCUCGCUGGACUGGCCCUGACGCUGACGCGCGAAAGCGUGGGGAGCGAACGGGAUUAGAUACCCCGGUAGUCCACGCCGUAAACGAUGGGCACUAGGUGUGGGAGGUAUCGACCCCUCCCGUGCCGGAGUUAACACACUAAGUGCCCCGCCUGGGGAGUACGGCCGCAAGGUUGAAACUCAAAGGAAUUGACGGGGGCCCGCACAAGCAGUGGAGCAUGUGGUUUAAUUCGACGCAACGCGAAGAACCUUACCCGGGCUUGACAUCCCCGGAACACCCGAGAGAUCGGGUGGCUCUACGGAGCCGGGAGACAGGUGCUGCAUGGUUGUCGUCAGCUCGUGUCGUGAGAUGUUGGGUUAAGUCCCGCAACGAGCGCAACCCUUGUCCCGUGUUACCAGCGUAAAGGCGGGGACUCACGGGAGACUGCCGGUGACAAACCGGAGGAAGGUGGGGAUGACGUCAAAUCAUCAUGGCCCUUAUGUCCGGGGCUACACACGUGCUACAAUGGCCGGCACAGCGGGAUGCGAAGGGGCGACCCGGAGCGAAUCCCUGAAAGCCGGUCCCAGUUCGGAUCGCAGGCUGAAACCCGCCUGCGUGAAGCCGGAAUUGCUAGUAAUC